UUGUAGCUUAGUCAGUAGAGCAAGAGACUCUUAAUCUCAGGGUCAUGGGUUUGAGCCCCACGUUGGGCAAAA